AACCCUGAUGCAGCUAUACCGUGUGUGUGAAGAAGGCCUUAGGGUUGUAAAGCACUUUCAAUGGGGAAGAAUUUAAUAUUGCUAAUAUCGAUAUUAAUUGACGUUACCUAUAUAAGAAGCGCCGGCUAACUCCGUGCCAGCAGCCGCGGUAAUACGGAGGGUGCAAGCGUUAAUCGGAAUUACUGGGCGUAAAGAGUACGUAGGUGGUUUGUUAAGUCAGAUGUGAAAUCCCUGAGCUUAACUUAGGAACUGCAUUUGAAACUAAUAAACUAGAGUUUCGUAGAGGGGGGUAGAAUUCCAGGUGUAGCGGUGAAAUGCGUAGAGAUCUGGAGGAAUACCAGUGGCGAAGGCGACCCCCUGUACUGAAACUGACACUCAGGUACGGAAGCAUGGGGAGCAAACAGGAUUAGAUACCCUGGUAGUCCAUGCCGUAAACGAUGUCGAUUUAAA
rnacentral:rRNA from 1 species